rnacentral:rRNA from 1 species
AUGGUGGACCUUGAGGCCAACAACCAUCUUCCUGAUCAAGCACAAGGAGAAGAUGAUGUGGUGGAUCUUGAGCCCGACCAUGGAUCUCAGACGCAAAGCACACGGACAAGUAGAGCCCAAGUUGAUGACUAUAAUGUGGACCUUGAGGUCUAUAAGCUAUUUGUGGACCUUGCAUCGCCCUAUCCUGAUCGACUUGGCAUCCUAAAAUCCUUUGGGUUGCUUCAUGAGAAGCAAGCAUAUGUUUUGUUGCAAAAUAGGCUAUCCAAUACGUUUAAUCUUUUAUACCCGAAAAAGAAGAUGAUCGAGCUGUGUGACGAAACGGGGGAACAACCAGAUAUGAAUCCUGGUGCUUUGUUCAUACGUCUACCAGCUAUGAUACUGCCAUGGGCAGCCCUCGCCCUCUUCCACAAUAGCCACAGAGAAGGUUAUGAUGAUAACGACGUCAAGGUUACAUAUGUCUUGUUCUGCUGUACCGCAGUGUUGGAGUACUUCUGCAGGUUUUUCUCAACUAGUCAUAUUUCUUCAAAGGCUCAAAGGCAAGUCCAUUCGAGUUCUAGGACGCCUGAUGGGGAUUGGGCAGUACAAUUGGUAACAUGGGCGCUUGACCAAGUUGCAAGGAUAAAGCUAGAGAAUGCCCAACGGCGAGGGAGUGCAGUUCCCCCGUUCCAGUGGCAAAGGACCAUCCUGUACAAGCUUCAGUGGGCAAGAAAGAAGGAUGCCCUGUCCAUCAGUGAGCUAAUAAAUAUCAUGAGCAUUGGUGCACUCAAAGAUAGCCUCGUAGGCCAAUAUGCUCUUGUAGGGUUCUUUGUCCACAACAAAAAGCACACCAAGAUGACCAGCAUCCUGAGUUUUUUGAAUUGCAACGACUUCUUUCACCAACAUUGGUUCAUGAAGCCCUGCAACUCUUCCUUUGCAAUAACAGAGUUAGUCCUCAAGUAUGUAAAGAAAGGGUGGGAAGAUCAGAUAAAAGAUGUUGGCAGUUACUGGAAGUUCAAUGACCGCAGGGGGCAAUGGACUCUUGAGGCUAACAAGUGCGAUCAAGACCUGGGUUGGAGCUUAAGGAGUCCAUUUGACGAGAGCGUCCUUCUCUGGCACAUCGCCACGGAUUUCUGCUUCUACCACUUGGGCGCAUCAGCAGAUCACCAAUGUGCCACUGCUCAGUGUAUUGAAGAUGCAUCAGGUGAAGGCCAUGGUUGUGCUGUUUGGCGGAAUCUGCUCAUCACCGCUAAUGCCGAACUGGAGGAGAUUCUCAAGGAUGAAGAUCUGUCGCUCGAGAAGAUCAUCAAGGGUGACAAGCCUUCGCUCAUGGAGAUCCUCGGAUGCAGUAAGCCAUUUCUGAAGUUCUUCACAGGCAGAAAGCCAUUGCUCGAUGAAAUCGAAAGAGAAUUUACGCAGAGAAUAAUUGGCAAGGUGCAGCCCACACAAUGCCAAGAACAAGUUGUUGAACACACACAUUCGCCACCUGGUGCAAAGAAAUAUCCAACUGCACAGGAAGGUUGUUUUAUCCGUGAUGCCUGUAAGAUUUCUGAAGCGCUGUUGUCUUUGGGUGAUGAGAACAAGACAUGGGAAGUGAUCGAAGGUGUGUGGGUGGAGAUGCUCUGCUUCUCAGCCAGGAUGGAGACCUUGCCGGAGAGGCUGCAGAGGAUGGAGCUUUCAAGUGAAGGAAAUGCCGGUGCCCCUCCAUCGACUUCCCAGAUACCUGGGAGCGAAGAUCCACCUCCUUGCAGACGCUCAAGGCCUCAUGAAGCUGCUGCUGCCGGCGCAUCCAUGUCUGAAUCCCAAGAAAUACUGCUCCUCGGUGCAGAGCUUGAUGCACUAGUCCAGUCUGAUGCCUGGCAGUCUGUUUGUGAGCUGUUGGAGCUGCCAGAUUACCAAGUCUGUAGUAUGGAUGCCAGGUCAGAUGCUUUUAUCUUCCUUGAUCUCCAUGAUUAUCUUGUUGGUAUAUCACUUCCCAGAGGCACUGCUCCAUCUCAAAAUGCUUACGAGAUUGGAGUUAUUUAUAGGUUAAGGGGUUUGAAGGGCGACGAGCUGUGUUGGUUCAGGAUAAAGGGAUGGAGGCCAGCAUGGCAACAUGUCUUGCCUCUUGAUUGGUCCGGCGGCAGCUAUCUGCUUAUUGGAAUCCCUGUCAACCGAACAAGGCUUAAGCUGUUGCCGUCUCCAUCCGCGAGCUGCAGUGAAGACUUCACCUGUCACCCGUUCACUCUCAUUUUUCCCCCUCUGAAAAUGGAUGCAGCUCGUUGCCGCUCUGAAAUUGCUGAACUCGGGUCGGCAGCAGUGAGCGAGAAGAAAAGGAGCACGCACGCUCCACGAGGCAGGCAGAAUGUUGCUUGCUCACGCGGCCAUCUCCGGUCUGCAAAUCAGGAGAUCGGAGCCCGGGCUGCGCACACAUCUCGCAGGACAGAAGAGGAAAAAGAAGCCACAGACCAACCACCACCGGAGAACCGUACGAUACCCAAUCUUCCCAUCACCGGAAAGCAGAGAGGAAAAAUAAAGCCGGCCACACGGCGCGUUGCGGUCGCCGAAGCCGCGGACGAUCGGCCGCCGAGGCGCCGCCCGUGUGCACGUCGAGGGCGAGAGAAAGCAUCGCAUCGUAUCCGCCGAAAUCCGAAGCGUGACAGGACCGCGUCGGGCGCGGGAGGCCCACGAGCACGAGGCGUCACCGCCGGAGAGGACACAUCCAAAUCCACCUCACCUGCCGCGAUCGUGCGUCCCCACGGCCCAUCACGCCGCUCGCCCGCCCGCCGUCGCAGUCGGUCGACAGUGGCCGGCCAUCAGGCCAUGGCUCGUCCAUACUCCACCUACUACCGCUACUGCGUGCAGGCAGCAGCAGACCGGCGAAGCAUCGUGCCCGCGGUCGGUCAACGAAAGUCACGAGACUACCACCACUACAACCAGCACCGCUCGCUGACAUGUGUGAUUCAUCUCCCUGACGAACACUCUCUUCCACCUCCAACGGAAUCUGGAUGCGCACGAAUGUGCAACCCAACCCAACCCUGCAGAAAUUCCAGCUGCAGGUGUAGCGUAGACGAUCCGGCGAAUCCGGAGUCAUGCGGGGGCAGCGGCAGCGCGUGGAAGGAAAAUGAAGGGAAAGUAAAACGAAUCAAGUCGAUCGGUGCACCUCAUCACACGGCGUGGAGAGAGGGACCGGGCGACUCUGCUGGAGCUCACCGCCGCCGAUGGAAAGGCGACGGCGACCCCGCGGGCUGGCGGGCAUACGUCGACGUGCCACCGACCCGCCGGGAAGCUAGUGUCGAUGGAUCUCCAAGCACCAUAGCCCGCGACCUCGACGAGAUCCGGGGAUUCCCAACACCGCUGGCUCCUAGACGAAGGCAAAAGCCUCGCCCGACCGCGAACGGAGCCCGGAGAAAUUUAUUCCGACACGACACCACCGCAACGGCCUCGGCAGCGUCUCCCUCAACCCUAACCCUACCACAUACCCACCUAGCGAACAGACCCGAGGUUCCCUCUCCCUCCCGCCGCCGGAGCGACCGACGGAGAGAGAGGGAACCGGUGGCGUCACCGGCGGCGCGCAAGGGAUCCCUCUUCGCCUCCUUGAUCGCCUAG